AUUCUUACUGAACUGAACUUACACAAAAAAUGUCAGGACAUUUUUUGCUUGUCACUCCACCCUGCCAGUGAGCAGGCUGGGGGUGAGCAAGGAUUUGGGAGAGGACACAGAUGGGACAGCUGAUCCCAACUGACCUAAUGGAUAUCCCACACUAUGGCCUCAUGCUCAGCAUGUAAGGAAAUCCAGCUGGACCUGAAUAUCCCUGGUGUUACAUACAUUAAAAAAACCCAAAACAAAUGAGAACUGCUUAAGAAGUGGCUGGAGACUGUUUGGCUGAAGAAGGGAUGAAUGAGAAGAACUCAGAAGCAGAUGGAUUUCAGGGAUGCUGACCCAGAUGAGAUCAUCUCUUCUGUGUGCUUUACUCAGCUCUUUGACAACUUUUGUUCUCUACAGGAAAUAUUUAUAUGUACUCUGGAAAGAGAUGGUGUUAAAAAUGUGUGCUUUUAGUAGAAAACAGCGGCCAGAUCAACAACAGAUGUCAAUUAACACAGUAGUUUUGUAUAAUUCACACUUAUUAGUCAGUUUUUUAAAAUCUCAGUAUCCCUCAAGUUUUACAGUGGGUACAACUCUUACCCAGAACUUCAGUGUUAAUAACCAGCUCUGUAAGUCACUCUUGAAGUAGGUCUGAAGCACCAGAAGAACCACAGCUCUCAAUCAGAUGCCGCAAACCCGAUCACGUUUCAGAGGCUUUUCCAUAAUGGCAAGUGUGCAUCUCACCAUUAGAAAAAGAGCCUCUUGAUUAUCAGGUGUAAAAUCUCUUUACACUAGGUGGAGCUGGCGGUCUAAAAGCAAAGCCAGCAGCUUCCUGCUCAACUGCAGCUUCAUCUGUGCGCUAGCAGGACCUAAUCAUCCUUCUUUCUUUCUCAAGAAUAAAAUCACUCAAAAAUCAGCAAAAAGGAGGUUGUGAAUAGCACAUGGAGCAGGGUGUCCCCUCUCACACAUACAUUAUACAAUGACAGUCCAUCCAAACCAAUGUACCUUCUGCUACAAUUAUUGCCAAGAUUCAUCUUCAAAAAGGAGCAGCCACUGCUCACUUCUGACUGGAGCAUGAACCCAUGUUAAGGUCAACCAGUGGGCUUUAAUGGGUUUUGCAUCAGCCUCUCCAUGUAUGCAUUACUAAUAGCAAUUCCCUUCCACACCACCAGACUGAAUAGCUGUGCAAAUGUUAUUUUUCAGAUUUAGUGUACUUUCAUGUCCCAUGUGUUUCAUGUUAUUAUUGUUAUGCCUUGGUGGCAGCACAAAUCCUUAAACAACUAAAGAUGGCAAAGCAUGGAAAAAUCGUGCAUCCCACAGCUAUUUACCUCAUGGAAGUGAUUUCUAAUGCUGACUGAAGAAGCCUUUUUUCUGAGACCAAACAGAAAGUCUCUGUCUGACAGAAUGCUAUUUUAAAUAUUUGGGUGUGUUUCCAUGGGGACAGAGAUUAAACUGGUAUAUUUAUCAGUUUCCAUCUCUUCUCUCUUUGUGAUAUCCAAGAUAACCGUACAUUUCAAACACAUCUGCAGAAAGCUAUUCAAAAAAGCUUCUGCUUGUAGCAAGAAAAUGACAGAAAUCAUAAUCACAGUAAUUAGAACAAUGAAAGUUGUACUUCCCUGUAAUGGUCUCAAAAGAUGCCCAUGGUUUAAGCAAAGCUGGACUUUAAUCAUAGAGUAAUUUUUUUGCCUCACUGAUGAGAAAAAUAACUGACCCAAAAUUAGAAUGAUGGAUGAACCAG